AGUGAACGCUGGCGGCAUGCCUAACACAUGCAAGUCGAACGAGACUCGGCCGAUCAUCGUCGAGUUUAGUGGCAAACGGGUGCGUAAUACGUAACCAAUCUUCCUUCGAGUGGGGGAUAACCCCGGGAAACCGGGGCUAAUACCGCGUGAGACCACGUCCUGGCAUCAGGAUGAGGUUAAAGCUCCGCAAGGGGCGCUUGAAGAGGGGGGUACGGCCUAUCAGCUUGUUGGCGGGGUUAAAGCCCACCAAGGCGACGACGGGUAGCCGGUCUGAAAGGACGACCGGCCACAAUGGCACUGAGACACGGGCCAUACUCCUACGGGAGGCAGCAGUGGGGAAUUUUGCGCAAUGGGGGAAACCCUGACGCAGCAAUGCCGCGUGGAGGACGAAGGUCUUCGGAUUGUAAACUCCUUUUGCCGGUGAAAAAAAGCCGUGUGAAUAACACGGACUGAUGGUAACCGGUGAAUAAGCCACGGCUAACUUCGUG
rnacentral:rRNA from 1 species